AACGAACGCUGGCGGCAUGCCUAACACAUGCAAGUCGAACGAAGCCUUCGGGCUUAGUGGCGCACGGGUGCGUAACGCGUGGGAACCUACCAUCAGGUUCGGAAUAACAGUUAGAAAUGACUGCUAAUACCGGAUAAUGUCUUCGGACCAAAGAUUUAUCGCCUUUUGAUGGGCCCGCGUAAGAUUAGGUAGUUGGUGGGGUAAAGGCCUACCAAGCCGACGAUCUUUAGCUGGUCUGAGAGGAUGAUCAGCCACACUGGGACUGAGACACGGCUCAGACUCCUACGGGAGGCAGCAGUGGGGAAUAUUGGACAAUGGGCGAAAGCCUGAUCCAGCAAUGCCGCGUGAGUGAUGAAGGCCUUAGGGUUGUAAAGCUCUUUUACUGGGGAUGAUAAUGACAGUACCCAGAGAAUAAGCUCCGGCUAACUCCGUGCCAGCAGCCGCGG
rnacentral:rRNA from 1 species